CAGAGAGGAGGCGAAUUUUCUAACCCUUAUUAGUUGACACUGUACAGAACAAUCGGAACCUGGCCUUCCUUUCCUAUACCGCAUACGUAAUACUCCCACCCACUGUACAUAUUUUACUUUAAUUUUCUAACAUUCUUGGGAAACCACAUAAAAAGAAACUUGUGAGAAUUUCACUAAAACAACAACUACGUCUGAAAAGUUCCGACGUCCACAUCGACAGUAACACCAUUGUUUCGCCUCCCCAUACCCGCCGUAGAACCACCACCGACAGCCUAGCAAACAUGUGAUCCCAACAGCCACUGAGCAGAUCGAAAAACUCACUUCCGCGGGCCACCUCCCUCCGAUCAGAACCGUGCCAAUAUCCUCCACCGUGAGACUCCACGGAAACGACCGCCCUCCGCAGACUCAACCGACAAACCACCGUCCCCCGUCCCUCACGCUGACGGUCCGCAGUAACGCCCACCGCACUCUCGCAACAACGCCCUUCCGGAUCGUCCCCUCCGAUUCAGCCGCGCCACCAUCAUCACAAUGACACAAUUCUACAAUUUCAACAACGAUUUCGACGCCGACGACAUCGCGAGUCUACUCCGCCACUGAGAUCCAUUAGGUAACAUUUUUACACAAAGAGGAGGCGAAUUUUCUAACCCUUAUUAGUUGACACUGUACAGAACAAUCGGAACCUGGCCUUCCUUUCCUAUACCGCAUACGUAAUACUCCCACCCACUGUACAUAUUUUACUUUAAUUUUCUAACAUUCUUGGGAAACCACAUAAAAAGAAACUUGUGAGAAUUUCACUAAAACAACAACUACGUCUGAAAAGUUCCGACGUCCACAUCGACAGUAACACCAUUGUUUCGCCUCCCCAUACCCGCCGUAGAACCACCACCGACAGCCUAGCAAACAUGUGAUCCCAACAGCCACUGAGCAGAUCGAAAAACUCACUUCCGCGGGCCACCUCCCUCCGAUCAGAACCGUGCCAAUAUCCUCCACCGUGAGACUCCACGGAAACGACCGCCCUCCGCAGACUCAACCGACAAACCACCGUCCCCCGUCCCUCACGCUGACGGUCCGCAGUAACGCCCACCGCACUCUCGCAACAACGCCCUUCCGGAUCGUCCCCUCCGAUUCAGCCGCGCCACCAUCAUCACAAUGACACAAUUCUACAAUUUCAACAACGAUUUCGACGCCGACGACAUCGCGAGUCUACUCCGCCACUGAGAUCCAUUAGAAUACACGUUUCUGAGACACAACUUGAGUAGCAGCAACAACAACAACAUGAUCAUGAAGAGAUGGAUCUCAAGAGUAAUGUUUUUGUCGUCAGCUUUUUCAAUUGUACUUUCUUAGCGGCAGAGGCGGAUCUGGGUUUUCGUGGGGUGAUGGUGGUCGGAGUUGAAAAAAUAAUGGCGAUAGUUAUGUUUUUCAGUGAUGAAUUUAUCGUUGGUGUUCGAUCACGGUGUCCGCAGAUGAUUAUUUUGAAAGAAGUUCGGUUUCAAUGUUUUUUCUUUUUGAUUUGCUAUGUUAAUCUGUUUGGUACUUGAUGGGUUUUAUAGACAUCGCCAAAAGAGGUUUAGUUUUUGUUUUCUAGUUUCAUCCGAACACACAAAUUCAUUGGAGUGGUUGUUGAAACCUAUCACAGAUAGCACCUUGCAGCUGUUUGUGCUUAUUUCUCUAUGGAUAUCUGUGGUGGAAAAUCAGUGGCGAGAUUUAUUGCGGCGAGAUUUCGAUCUGUAGUGGGAGGUCUAGAGGUCAAUAGUGAUAUUCAAUCAUUAGAUGGAGUGAUUUGGAGAUGAAAAUUCUUAUUGAUGUGCAAGGGUAUCAUACAACUUGCUGGAUGAUUCUUUCUCUCUCUGAAGCAAUUUUAUUAAUAUGGAGAAGAAGUUGGCUGCGGUGUGUCAAACUCUGGGUUAAAGCAAUCGUCGGAAGCCGCUGUUCUGAGGUGCUGCGGAGGGAGUCUUCGUUUGGAGGUGAUCCUAUUUUGAGUUCUCCUUUCUUCUGUUUCUUCCGAAUCCAUUUUUUCUCUAUUUCGUAAUGUUAUUCGUAGGUUAUUGCGGAGAGGUUAUCCGAGGAAGAAAUUGGUAGUUUGAAAUAUUAGGUUCUACAUUAUGUCGGUGUUGGUUCACGGAGGGCGACGAUUACUAUUCCCAAACAGAUUGAUAAACAUAUAUAAUAUUGAAAUGAAGAAAGAACAUGUCUUCAAAGCUUUCUACAUUAAGAACUAUCAUGGUUCCACAAAGCUUCUAUAUGCACAAAUUUAUACGAAACCUGUCACAAAUUUAUAAUUCAUAGUGUUUACAUUUAUAAUUCAUAGUGUUUACAUAUUGUUUCUACAUUGAAAUGAAAAUUUGUCGCAUUU